CAGAAUCAGUAUUUUGGUCAGCUUUCUUGCUGCUGUGACCAAAAACCUGACAAGAACAAUUUUAGAGGAGGAAAAGUUUAUUUGGCUCUCUUGGUUUCAGAGGUCUAAGUCUGUAGAGGGCAAAAUCCAUCGCUCUGGGCUAGAGGUGGGGCAGAACAUCAGGGCAGAAGGAUGUGACACAGGAAAGCAGCUCAGGGCAUUGCACCAGGAAGCAGGAAAAAAGAGCUCUCCUUUACAACCACAAAAUAUAAACCCCAAAGGCAUAUCCUUAGUAAUCCACCUCCUCUAGCCAUACCCAAUUUAUCUAUAGUUACCACCCAGUUAAUCCCUAUUAGGGGAUUAAUAUACUGAUUAGAUUAAGAUUCUUAAAACCCAGUCAUCUCACCUCUAAGCUUUCUUGCAUUGUCUUACAUAUGAGCUUUUGGGGAAUACAUCAUAUCGAAACCAUAAAAACCAGGUAUUAUGCCACUAAUUAUACUCUCCUGAGUGACAUCCUCUGCUAAAACACCAUCUUUCAUGUAGAACUGAUCCAUAACUGCUGUGUCAGGCAUCAGAGUUUUCAGGUUUAAUCUGUCUGAUUAUCCACCUAUCUGGGAAAUCCAGAGUAUACAAAUGCUAACAGUCAGAAGUCAUGUACCCUGCUACACUUGUUCUACUUAGGAAGAUUGGAUUAAGAAACUCUCUUUGUUCCUGGAAAGCCUGGUGUGGGUAGCUGUAGUGACAAGGCAUCAUGAAAUUCUUGAAAGUGUAAGAGAAGAGUUAUAUGAGUCAAACCCACUAUAAUUCCUAGAAAGCUCAACAUGGGAACCAAUAUUUUCAGCAAAUGAUAGUAUCACAUCUUCAAAAUUAAACAUCACUUGGAUGCAAGCAUUUGACUCUGAGUACAUAAGCUUCCUACUUGUCAGUUUUUGUCACACUUACGAUUGAACAUCAUACAUCCUUCAAAAAUAUGUCACACUCAGAUCCUGGGAUGGCAAAGACCUCCAGAUCCUUAGUUUGCAUUGGAUUGCUGCCAGGAGAGCUCAGACCUCCAGCAGCUUCUCUGUCCCUUUGAAAAAUGUGCAGCUUCUAUCAUUGUGAGACUAGAGAACAAUCAACAGCUAAAUGAAAUCUCUUCUACCACUGCUACAGAUUGUUUUAGGUAUGUUACUGAAGUUCCAGUGUCCUUUAAUUUUUACUGUUAUUUUAUGUUGUUUUUUAAAAUAAAAGAUGAAUAAAAAUUUCCCAGCUCUUUUUGGACUUGGAGAAUAGAGGCAGAUAUAGUUAAUCUCUGUAGUCAUUAUUAUUUCCCAGUUAGAAGUACUAGCUAAUGUAACUCAAGGGCCAUACUGUGAGCCCUAUAUGG
rnacentral:lncRNA from 1 species